AAAGAAAACUCUUCAUUCCCUCCUACUCCUCUUUGAAAUCACUGAUUCUGCUCAAACCCUCAUUUUAAGAGUGAGGGAAUGGAAACAGAGUAUUUGCCCUGGAACCUAUUUUGUUAAAGCAGAGGACCGCAAAGAACCACGGCCAGUCACCUCCCAGGCAGUGACCUUCCCUCUCCUAGGCAGUAGGCAGGCUUGAUUUGGCAUGGCAGUCACCCCAGGAAAGCCUGGCCAUUUUCCAUAGCUAUAUUCACAACAUUUGAGGAACGCUCAGGCAGCUGUCCUUGGUGUUUCAGGACAUGGUGUCUCCCCAUAGUGUUGUACAAAUUCACUGGAACAGGUGGCUCACCCAACCUUUCUUCAUGAUGCUGUUGAAUAUGAACUGGCUGGAGCAGACUGGCCCCACUGUGGGAUCCUAUUCCUGGGACGCAGAUGUCAAACCACACCAAACAAUUAAGUCAUGUUGGGAUCCCUCUUCAUCAGCAUGUCAAACACCUCUUCCAGGACCCAAAUUCAGUCUCCCUGAAAGUUGUCUGAUUAAACUUCUAAAAACCUCAUGGGUUGUGGCUCUUUAUGGCACAUAUGUUAUUUAUCAAUAAAAAGUGUGUUUUUUUUUUUUUUAAUCUAUGGAUUAACUGCUUGAGUCAUGUGCAAGCACUAAGAACAAAUGGAAAUCCACAUGAUGUUCUAGGGGAGAACCUAGAUUUAUGGCACCAGAGUAAGAGCAGACAUUUAGCUCAGCUUUAAGAAGCCCCACCUCCACUGCCUUUGACCUCAAGUCCCUCAUGUUUGCAAGGGUUUUAUCUAUGCGGUUAUUUUUUACAUAACUGGCUUUAGUAACAGAUUUUCUUUCCUAUUAUUUCAGUUGGUUCUGGACUCAAUGGAAAACUAUCAACAAAAGAAAAAUGUUGAAGUAAUUACUAAAGAUAAAUUUGUGUAUUUUGGGGGAAUGGGUAUCAAUAAGGCUAAUUUGAAAAUAAUAUUGUUUUUAUUAUUCAGUUCUUUAAAACUUGCUUAUUUCCACUUUUCAUUCCAAUUUAUUGGGAAUAGACCUUGUGCUUAGAGGUUAGAGCAAAAGAGUUUUUCAGAUUGUCUGGGUUUGAAAUCCUGCUGUUCUAACUUUACUUUGAUCUUCAGCAAGUUAACUUACUUUUCUGAGCCUCAGUUCCCUCAUCUGUAGGUAUGAUGAUGAUACCUAAAUCAUAGAAUGUUGGCAAGAAUUAAAUUAAAUGAGAAAAUUUAGGUAAAUUAUUUAGCACAGUCAUACCUGGUAGAUCAUAAUCACUCUCAUACUCUUAUUAUUAUCAUUAACAAAUUUUUAUUAUUAUUCCAUGAGUUUCUUCUCCUGCUUUAACUUAUCUAAAAAGUUGGAUUUUCUCCCCAAAUAAUUUUUAUUUAUUUUAUUUUAACUUUAUGGUCACACCUGUGGCAUAUGGAAGUUCUGGGGCCAGAGAUUGAAUCCAAGCCAUGGCUGUGACCUACACCACAGCUGCAGCAGUGGCAGAUCCUUUAACCCACUGUGCCAGUCUGUGGAUCAAACCCACACCUCCACAGAGACCUGAGCUGUGGCAGUUGGAUUUUUAACUCCCCCAAGAGUAAUUUUUAUAGAAACUCCAGCAGUAAAUAACAGAGUAGUAGUCAAAGAGCAGGCUCCCCCUAUACUUUUAUUUCAUAGAUAGAACAUUCCAUAUCACUCAUUUAUUCAACAGCCGUUUUUUGAAUUUUUAAUACAUACAAGGCAAUAUGAUCCAAAACCAGUAUAUCUUUUCCCCAACUUUAGCUCAAUUUUUUUUUAAGGAUAGCACAUAUCUAAAGAAACUCUUCCAAAGGGAUGGUGUAAUAUUGGUUUAGUUACUGUAUGACUGUCACACAUGUUUUUCAGGAUAAAAUGCAGUAACUAACAGUGCUGGUGGUUUAGAAUGGGCACCAGGAGCCUAGAAAUCUUACCUCUGUUGCACACACACACAAAAUCAGCUCUGUGAUUCCAGGAGAGUCAUUUCAUCCUCAUGAGCAUCAAUUUCCUUCAUCAUAAGAAGAUGGUCUUCAAAUAGCCUAGAAGUUUUCAAUCAUUUUGGUGAACUGUACUCACAAGUUGAUCUAAGGAUAUCAUUAGUUCCUCAUCACAAGCAUGAACACUCCAACUAUAAUUAGCACUCAAUUUCAAAAUUUCCUGCCCUUCCUCAAAGCCCAUCUGUAAAUUGUGGAUUAUAAGGUCCUUGAACCACAGGUAAAGAAUCCCUGGGCUAGAAUAAGGCUCUCUGUUUCACUAUUUUGAAAUUCUAAACCACAUCACCAACACAUAGUCUGCCACACAAAAAUAGCAGUAUUAAAGUCUCUUCAUAGAUAAAAUGUCAUUCCACACCUCCAGGUAACUCCUCUUCCACCACUUUCUCUAUUGGGAGUUACUGCCCCCAUGCUGGUAUGAAUACCACUUAUCAGGGAAAACAUCUGCAAUCAAAACCCUCGUGAAGAUCUUGGCAGUUCCCAUUGUGGCUCAGCAGGUUACAAGCCCAACUAGAAUCCAUGAAGAUGAGGGUUCAAUCCCUGACUUCAUUUGGUGGGUUAAGAUCUGGCAUUGCUGUGAGCUGUGGUGAAGGUUGCAGACAAGACUCAGAUCCUGUGUUGCUGUGGCUGUGGUGUAGGCUAGCAGCUGCAGUUCCAACUAGACCCCUAGCCUUGGAACUUACAUAUCCACAGGCAUGGCCCUAAAAAGCAAAAACAAACAAACAAACAAACAAACAAAACAACCCUUGUGAAGAUCUUGAGUAAUCCUUCAAUCCCAUAGAAACUAAAAAAUCUCCCCUAGGUACCAUAGCUGCUCAUGUUUUUGGACCUCCAAUCAUGAGACCCAGAUAUUUCCAUCAGGAGAAGCAUGUAACAUGACUUCUUAUAAGAAGGCAGCAUCCAAGAAAAAAGUGAAAGCCUUGCUGACCAUUGAGUAUCUUAACAUAGAAAAGAUAGGGUAAUGGGUAAAGAAGAAAAGAAACUGUCCAAGAGAGCAGACAACAAAGUUUAUUCAUAAUUCAUAUUUUAAAAGGAUGCUAUCCCAGAUGAUACCUGCUGAGUUCCCCUCGUGGCGCAGUGGUUAACGAAUCCGACUAGGAACCAUGAGGUUGCGGGUUCAGUCCCUGCCCUUGCUCAGUGGGUUAAUGAUCCGGCAUUGCCGUGAGCUGUGGUGUAGGUUGCAGACGCGGCUUGGAUCCCGCGUUGCUGUGGCUCUGGCGUAGGCCGGUGGCUACAGCUCCGAUUCGACCCCUAGCCUGGGAACCUCCAUAUGCCGCGGGAGCGGCCCAAGAAAAUAGCAACAACAACAACAACAAAAGAC
rnacentral:lncRNA from 1 species